UACGAAGGAUGCAAGCGUUAUCCGGAUUUAUUGGGUUUAAAGGGUGCGUAGGCGGACUUAUAAGUCAGUGGUGAAAUCUCGUUGCUUAACAACGAACGUGCCAUUGAUACUGUAGGUCUUGAGUACAGAUGCCGUUGGCGGAAUGUGUCAUGUAGCGGUGAAAUGCAUAGAUAUGACACAGAACACCGAUUGCGAAGGCAGCUGACGAAACUGUAACUGACGCUGAGGAGCGAAAGCGUGGGGAGCGAACAGG
rnacentral:rRNA from 1 species